rnacentral:rRNA from 1 species
CCUGAUCCAGCAAUGCCGCGUGUGUGAAGAAGGCCUUCGGGUUGUAAAGCACUUUUGUCCGGAAAGAAAUCCUCGGGGUUAAUACCUCGGGGGGAUGACGGUACCGGAAGAAUAAGCACCGGCUAACUACGUGCCAGCAGCCGCGGUAAUACGUAGGGUGCAAGCGUUAAUCGGAAUUACUGGGCGUAAAGCGUGCGCAGGCGGUUUUGUAAGACGGAUGUGAAAUCCCCGGGCUUAACCUGGGAACUGCAUUGGUGACUGCAAGGCUAGAGUAUGGCAGAGGGGGGUAGAAUUCCACGUGUAGCAGUGAAAUGCGUAGAGAUGUGGAGGAAUACCGAUGGCGAAGGCAGCCCCCUGGGCCAAUACUGACGCUCAUGCACGAAAGCGUGGGGAGCAAACAGGAUUAGAUACCCUGGUAGUCCACGCCCUAAACGAUGUCAACUAGUUGUUGGGGAUUCAUUUCCUUAGUAACGUAGCUAACGCGUGAAGUUGACCGCCUGGGGAGUACGGUCGCAAGAUUAAAACUCAAAGGAAUUGACGGGGACCCGCACAAGCGGUGGAUGAUGUGGAUUAAUUCGAUGCAACGCGAAAAACCUUACCUACCCUUGACAUGUACGGAAUCCUGCUGAGAG